GACGAACGCUGGCGGCGUGCUUAACACAUGCAAGUCGAACGGAAAGGCCCUGCUUUUGUGGGGUGCUCGAGUGGCGAACGGGUGAGUAACACGUGAGUAACCUGCCCUUGACUUUGGGAUAACUUCAGGAAACUGGGGCUAAUACCGGAUAGGAUCUCCUGCUGCAUGGUGUGGGUUGGAAAGUUUCGGCGGUUGGGGAUGGACUCGCGGCUUAUCAGCUUGUUGGUGGGGUAGUGGCUUACCAAGGCUUUGACGGGUAGCCGGCCUGAGAGGGUGACCGGCCACAUUGGGACUGAGAUACGGCCCAGAAUCCUACGGGAGGCAGCAGUGGGGAAUAUUGCACAAUGGGCGGAAGCCUGAUGCAGAAACGCCGCGUGCGGGAUGACGGCCUUCGGGUUGUAAACCGCUUUCGCCUGUGACGAAGCGUGAGUGACGGUAAUGGGUCAAGAAGCACCGGCUAACUACGUG
rnacentral:rRNA from 1 species